GACAGAGGUUGCAAACGUUGUUCGGAAUCACUGGGCAUAGAGCGCACGUAGGCGGCUGACUAAGUCAGAUGUGAAAUCCCUCGGCUCAACCGGGGAACUGCGUCUGAUACUGGUCGGCUUGAGAACGGUAGGGGUGAGCGGAACUCCAGGUGGAGCGGUGAAAUGCGUAGAUAUCUGGAGGAACACCGGUGGCGAAAGCGGCUCACUGGACCGUCACUGACGCUGAGGUGCGAAAGCUAGGGUAGCAAACGGGAUUAGAAACCCUGUAGU
rnacentral:rRNA from 1 species